rnacentral:tRNA from 1 species
GGCCUAUUAGCUCAGUUGGUUAGAGUAUCGUGCCAAUUACGCAAAGGUCGUUGGUUUGAAACCUGUAUGGGCCA